rnacentral:rRNA from 1 species
AUUGAACGCUGGCGGCAUGCUUUACACAUGCAAGUCGAGCGGCAGCGCGGGGCAACCUGGCGGCGAGCGGCGAACGGGUGAGGAACACAUCGGAACGUGUCCCGUAGUGGGGGAUAGCUCGGCGAAAGCCGGAUUAAUACCGCAUAUUUCUCUUUGGAGGAAAGCCGGGGAUCCGCAAGGACCUGGCGCUAUGGGGGCGGCCGAUGUCCGAUUAGCUAGUUGGUGGGGUAAAGGCCUACCAAGGCGACGAUCGGUAGCUGGUCUGAGAGGAUGAGCAGCCAGACUGGGACUGAGACACGGCCCAGACUCCUACGGGAGGCAGCAGGGGGGACUUUUGGACAAUGGGGGCAACCCUGAUCCAGCCAUGCCGGGUGCGGGAAGAAGGCCUGCGGGUUGUUAACCGCUUUUAGCCGGGAAGAAAAGAUACGCGAUAACACCGCGUGUUCUUGACGGUACCGGCGGAAUAAGCACCGGCUAACUACGUGCCAGCCGCCGCAGUAACAC